rnacentral:rRNA from 1 species
CCCGUAGACGGAGCGACGCCGCGUGGGGGAUGAAGGCUUUCGGGUUGUAAACCCCUUCAGGUGGGAAGAGCAGUCGCGAGGUGAACAAUCUCGCGGCCUUGACGGUACCACCAGAAGAAGCUCCGGCCAACUCCGUGCCAGCAGCCGCGGUAAUACGGGGGGAGCAAGCGUUGUUCGGAUUCAUUGGGCGUAAAGGGCGCGUAGGCGGCUCGGUAAGUCUGACGUGAAAUGCACCGGUUCAACCGGGGCGCUGUGUCAGAAACUGCCAGGCUUGAGGUCGAGGGAGGAAGGUGGAAUUCCUGGUGUAGCGGUGAAAUGCGUAGAUAUCAGGAGGAACACCCGUGGCGAAAGCGGCCUUCUAUCUCGAUUCUGACGCUGAGGCGCGAAAGCUAGGGGAGCAAACGGGAUUAGAUACCCUGGUAGUCCACGCCGUAAACGAUGAAUACUCGAUGUUAGCGAUAUACUGUUAGCGUCCAAGCGAAAGCGUUAAGUAUUCCACCUGGGGAGUACGCCCGCAAGGGUG